rnacentral:rRNA from 1 species
UACGUAGGGGGCAAGCGUUGUCCGGAAUCAUUGGGCGUAAAGCGCGUGUAGGCGGCCCGGUAAGUCCGCUGUGAAAGUCGGGGGCUCAACCCUCGGAUGCCGGUGGAUACUGUCGGGCUCGAGUACGGAAGAGGCGAGUGGAAUUCCUGGUGUAGCGGUGAAAUGUGCAGAUAUCAGGAGGAACACCGAUUGCGAAGGCAGCUCGCUGGGACGUGACUGACGCUGAGGCACGAAAGCGUGGGGAGCAAACAGG